AGAAAACAAGAACUUACUGCUAUUACGCGGAAAUGGGGAAGUUUCCGAUUAGACGACAAUCAAGAGACAAAGUCUUUCAUAGUAAUUAAAUAUUUUCUUUUCCUUUUUUAUUUUAAAUUUUUCUUAAAAAUAAUAAUAAUACGGAGAAUCGUCGACUAUAAGGAGAAGGGUUUCAAUUAGAAUUUUGUAGAUCUCUUUCUGUCUUUCUGUUCUUUUAUAACCCAACUCACCAAUUUCCUUCUUCAUUUCAAUACAAUACGUCUGCGUUUCACAUCCAAACAAACAAGGCAAACAGACACACCCACCUGUGCCAUUGCUGUUGGACCUUUUUUUUGCUUUAAUUUUGUUUAGGAGGGAAUUGUUGGUUUAUUUGGCGGGAAUUCAAUUUUUUGUUUGUUUUUAUUGUAAAGAUUUUAGCUGAUUUGGGAUCAAGGAGGACAAUGUUAUUAAGUUAUUUGUAUAGAUAUUCAUAAGCUGCUGUCUUUGUUGUUGUUGUUAAAGAGAAUAAGAUGGGAGUAUCUGAUAAUUCAAAAGGGUUGAUAUUGGCGGUGGCUUCAAGUGCUUUUAUUGGGUCUAGCUUUAUUUUGAAGAAGAAAGGCUUAAAACGAGCUGGUGCUACUGGUACUCGCGCUGGAGUCGGAGGCUACACCUACUUACUAGAGCCACUAUGGUGGGCUGGCAUGAUAACAAUGUUUGUUGGAGAGGUUGCAAAUUUUGUGGCUUAUGUUUAUGCUCCUGCCUUUUUAGUAACUCCUCUUGGUGCACUUAGUAUUAUUAUCAGUGCAAUUUUGGCACACUUCAUGUUGAGGGAGCGGCUACAGAAAAUGGGUGUUGUUGGAUGUGUAUCCUGCAUUGUUGGAUCAGUAGUGAUUGUAAUCCAUGCACCUGAAGAACAUACUCCUAGUUCUGUACAAGAAGUCUGGACUUUGGCAACUCAACCAGCAUUCUUAAUAUAUGUAGCAGCUUCACUUUCAAUGGUGUUAGUGUUGAUUUUGCACUUUGAACCUCGCUGUGGGCAGACAAACAUGUUGGUCUACUUGGGAAUAUGUUCUUUGAUUGGUUCAAUUACGGUUGUAAGCAUAAAGGCUAUCGGAAUUGCAAUAAAGCUUACACUGGAGGGAACAAGUCAGAUAGCUUACCCGCAGACUUGGUUUUUCCUUACAGUUGCAGUGAUUUGUGUCAUUACCCAGUUAAAUUACCUCAACAGGAUGCUAAUUUAUUUAUCAUCAGCUGUCUCAUCUUCAGCAAUGUUUGUGUUGUCAUUGUUCAGGCUUUGGAUACAUUCAAUGCAACAAUUGUAUCUCCAGUAUAUUAUGUAAUGUUUACUACACUAACCAUUGUUGCUAGUGCCAUAAUGUUUAAGGAUUGGUCAGGCCAAAAUGCAAGCAGCAUAACCUCUGAAAUAUGUGGUUUCAUCACCGUACUAUCAGGAACAAUCAUACUUCAUGCCACAAGAGGACAGGAACCUCCUCCUCCUCGAGGAACCGUGACAUGGUACAUUAGAGAAGAUUCAGUCAAGAGUGUGGAAGAACAUUUAAUUAAUGUACAAAGUUCAGAUGAGCGAUGAGUCUGUAUAUAGUGAACCUAUUUAUGCGAGAACAAUUAUCACCACAAUCGGAGCAAUGCUGCAAUCUAUGUUUGCUGAUUAAGGAGCUCCUUGUUUUUUUUGGAAGAACUUUGGCGAAUGAAAAUUGUAGUGGUUUUUUGUGUAUAUCUUUUCUGGACAAGCUGUGGGCGGAGGUCUCGACUUGAAAUGCUCAACUCCCCAAAACCUUUCAAAUUUUGUCAACAGGUCUUGCGGUUGGUGUACUAAGAGUAGCAGAGAAAAUGAUGCACAGAUCUAACAAUAGGUUCAAUGAUGUCCCAUAGGCUGUCAAGUUGUAUUUAUAAAUACUAGUGUUGAUGGAUUCACUUCAUUCUAUAAUUUCAGUUGAUGCCUCUGAUACAAACGUA